AGUGAACGCUGGCGGUAGGCCUAACACAUGCAAGUCGAACGGCAGAACAGUAAUAGCUUGCUCUUACAGGUGGCGAGUGGCGGACGGGUGAUGAAUACAUCGGAAGCUACGGUUUCGUGGGUGAUAACGUAGGGAAAAUUACGGUAAUACCGCAUAGGAACUACGGGGGGAAGCAUGGGAUCUUCGGACAUUGCGCGAGUGAAGGAGCCGAUGGCGGAUUAGCGAGUUGGCGGGGUAAAGGCCCACCAAGGCGACGAUCGUUAGCUGGUCUGAGAGGAUGACCAGCCACACUGGAACUGAGACACGGUCCAGACUCCUACGGGAGGAAGAAGUGGGAAAUAUUGGACAAUGGGCGAAAGCCUGACCAAGCAAUCCCGCGUGGGUGAAGAAGGCCUUCGGGUUGUAAAGCCCUUUUGUUGGGAAAGAAAAGAAGCAGGUUAAUCCCCCGCUGUUCUGCCGGAACAACAAGAAGAAGCACCGGUAACCUUGGG
rnacentral:rRNA from 1 species